CCCUUAGAUGUUCUGGGCUGCACGCGCGCUACACUGAUGCACUCAACGAGUUUACGACCUUGCCCGAUAGGGUUGGGUAAUCUUUUUAAAAUGCAUCGUGAUGGGGAUAGAUUAUUGCAAUUAUUAAUCUUCAACGAGGAAUUCCUAGUAAGCGCGAGUCAUCAGCUCGUGCUGAUUACGUCCCUGCCCUUUGUACACACCGCCCGUCGCUCCUACCGAUUGAGUGCUCAGGUGAAUAAUUCGGACUGCAGCAAUGUUUGGAUCCCGAACGUGGCAGCGGAAAGUUUAGUGAACCUUAUCACUUAGAGGAAGGAGAAGUCGUAACA
rnacentral:rRNA from 1 species